UAGUCUUGUCAGAUAGAACGAAGUGAAUAGAAAAAUGUUAGAUUGUAACAUUGCAAAGACAUCGGAUACUGCAGUGGGUGCGGGGACAGCGGGACCGGAGAAAGAAGAGGGGGUAAGCAGGCGACACGCAGCCGAGAGCCGUGCAGUGGCUGUUAGGAAAAUAUCGCCCUUCAGUGUAUACCCGAAAAUGGAAGACGAAGGUGGCAACUCGCAGAGUGAGUGUCACGAAGCAUCUCUUGUAUUGGCUGAUGUGCCUCGACUGGUCGCUGCAGACAAAUACUGCAUUGAUCUUGUCUAUGAGUUCCUUGCCAGCUACAAUUUCGGAAUAACUGCAGAUACGCUCCUGGAGGAAUGUCAGAGCUUGGGCUUCGAGGUGCCAAAGACUGUAAUCAAGCAGCGGAUCAAGAAAGAGAGUGUCUCAAACAUCAUGAAGCAUUUCACAGAAAAUAAUCUGGUGGACUUCUUUCAGGCAUGGGAGACAUCAGUUCCGGACCCCAUCAAAGCAGAACUGGAGUUCAGGAAGCUGACAUUCUACCUGCACGUCUACUUUGCUGUGUUGCCACUGACGAGUGUGGGCGCGGGGUCUGGCUUCCCGGCCAGCGACAAUGGCUGUGUGCAAGGAGAGGAGGGCGGAAUUAGUGCAGACGGCAUGGAGGUGCUGAAAGAAUUUCUGGAGACAAAGGGCCGGGACUUCAGCAACGAACCAGAGUUCCUGCCGUACUAUGCUCUGCCGUUUGUCAGCGACCCUGUGAACCACCCAUCCUUUGCAAGCGUCUUCAGUGAACACUGGAAGAAAGAGCUUCAGGAGAGCUUGGAGCAGUUCCUGGUGCAGUGUUGCUGGGGCCAGAGAGUUGCCCCGCGGCUGCUCCGCAUGGCCCUGGAGGCCAUGCGGGACGAGACCCCCGCCCUGAGCAGGGCACGGCUGCAGCAGCAGUUGGCAGAGCUGGAGCACAGUUAUCGCCAGCUGAAGAGAAGAUUCCGUCGCCUCAGCAAGGACCACCAGAACCUCAUUGGCAUAGCAACAGAGCUGACGGGAGCCCUUGAGAGCACAGUGAAAGGGAAGGCUGUGGACUUGGCUGCAACCCUGGACAACUGUGCUGCCAUCUUCCCGGAACUGUUCAAGCCAUCCGUCACUCCACAGACAGUCCCAGAAGGUGACGAGGAGUGCUCCCUCGGCGCCGGCAGCGAGAGAGACCGGUCGCACGCGGCCAGCCUGUGGACUAGCUUCGACGUGGACUUCAGGAAGUUGAAGAACCACCUGCUGACCGGCAGCAUGAAGACCCAACUCCUGCUGCUCCAGGCACUGCGAUGGCGCAUCACCCGCUCGAGUGUGGAGGACCGCGAGGAGGUGAUGGGCGCGUACCUGCGACAUGACGUGCUGUGCCUGCACUCGGGCGGCGGGGGGGACCUGCUGGGGGCAUGCCUCCUCCCCGCGGACACGGCCAGCCCUCACCCCCUGCAGCAGGCGGCGGCACGCCUCGUCAACGCCGUGGCCUCCCUGCGCUGCGGCCGGGACUAUCUGUCCGGGGCGGGGCGGGACGUGGCGGGCGUGCUGGUGCGAGCCAUCACCGGGGGCGCCGCCCUCGAUGCCAUCACCACCGACAUGCUCCUGGCGGCACUGCAGAAGCUCAGCCUCAGGCACGGCCAGCGGGUGCGCAUGCUGGAGCUGGGCGUGGUGGAGUGGCUGGUGCGGCACCUGGCCGCGGGGCACAGCUCCGCGCGGGCCUACACCCUGGAGUACGGCACGGCCCUGCUCAUGAACCUGUGCCUCCACCGCCGCGCCCGCCAGCGCUGCCGCCCGCUUGCCAGGCCCGCGCUCGAGCUGCUCUCCGCGCUGCUCGCCACCGAGGCCACCCACGCCCUGCCAUAUGUGAACGGCACCUUGUUCAGCCUCUUGUCCGAGGAGCAGAUCAAUCGGGAGGCCAAGAAGAUGGGCUUGGGUCGAGUAUUGGACUACUACAUCUUGCGCAGUGAAGGGGAGCCGCGCAGGCAGCUGGAGUACAUCGCUCGGCUGCACCGAGGCGACUGCCAGCCGGACCACACUCCGCUCAGUGACGAGGAGAACGAAGAUGACGAUUCAGAGGAAGUGGAUCUCCUGGAGGAAGAGCUGGACUCUGAUGACCCCAUGAAGGGUGGCCAGGGCGAGCCGUGUGGGGAGCAACUGUUGUUCCAGCACUACCGACUGCUCUUCCCCUACGCCGGCGUGGUGCACCCAGCGUCCUCCCAUGCCCAGCCGGGGGAAGUCCUGCGCCGGCCGACCACUCCGCGGUCCCUCUCCAGCCGGCCCAAGAGCCCACCUACUUCUCCCCCCGUAGACGUGGCGACAACCACUUCCCAGCCCACGGCCGCGCAGUUUCACGCUGCAGACGCGUUGAUCCUGGAGAACGUAGAGUCUGAGCUGGAAGCAGAGGACGUGGAGGAAGAGGUCGAAGAAGCCAGCAUCCCAGCCGUCAGCUUGAACGUCCCGGCUCCGGAUGCGCAAGAGACUGCAGGUGGCGGGGAGUCGAGUGUGGAACCCAGCUCCUCUCAGGCGGGGUGAGUCCUAGGUAGCAAGCCACUCGUCUCGAUGCUCUGUGCCUUCUUGCGCCGCCGCACGUCACGCCACCGGUAGCCGCUCGCACGCCAGUCUCGCCACUGCAUGGAUCCUUCACACGCAUCUGCUGCUUCAUGCGUCACAUCUCCAUAGACGUUAAGUGUAUGAAUGAAGAAUACAGUGAAGCAUUCAGCUCCCGCCCACGCAUCCCUCGCACUCCGACCUUCCAACGAUCUUUCACAGCUUGGUGAGCUGCCCCUUAGCAACCAGGGACGUCUACCUGAUGGGUCGAACUUCUGUUUGGAGCUCAGAUAUAUAUUUGACAGUGACAAACACAAUCCACUCAUCUGCAAAUUGCAGUGCACCAAGUAAAUAUUUUUUUGUAAGUGCUUUUACUGUAAAUGAUGCUUAAACUAAUAAAUAAUAAAUAAAAAUGAUGUGUGUAUUCUUUCUAGAGUUAUAUGUACAUAGUGUAUGUAUGCGUCUGUUAUUUAUAAUCCUUCGUGGCAGUUGCACAUACUGGGUAAGAUUUUAUGUAUUUGUGGCAUUGAAGCUGGACUGAUUAUACCUAGUUAUGUAGCAUAUACUGACAUAGUAUAUGCAGGUUGCAUCCUUAGAACGAGUAUAGCGAACUAAGAAAAAUUGGCAUUGUUAGGUCUAGCCAGUGAAAUACAUUCUGUAUUGAUCUUAAUAAUAGUUAUUGUAAUUUUUAUACUUGUAAUAAUAACUUAUGAGUUGGUAGGUACCUAUGGAAUGAAACAAGCACUAUGUAAUGAA